rfam:Triticum aestivum genome assembly, contig: Triticum_aestivum_CS42_TGACv1_scaffold_320284_4BL
GAUAUACUCCCUCCGUCCGGAAAUACUUGUCAUCAAAACGAAUAAAGAGAGAUGUAUCUAGAACGGAAAUAUGUCUACAUACAUCCCCUUUUUAUCUAUUUUGAUUUGAUGACAAGUAUUUUCGGACGGAGGGAGUACAAC